rnacentral:rRNA from 1 species
ACGGAGGAUCCAAGCGUUAUCCGGAUUUAUUGGGUUUAAAGGGUGCGUAGGCGGCUUUUUAAGUCAGGGGUGAAAGACGGUAGCUCAACUAUCGCAGUGCCCUUGAUACUGAAGAGCUUGAAUGGACUAGAGGUAGGCGGAAUGUGACAAGUAGCGGUGAAAUGCAUAGAUAUGUCACAGAACACCGAUUGCGAAGGCAGCUUACUAUGGUUUAAUUGACGCUGAGGCACGAAAGCGUGGGGAUCAAACAGG